UGCCAUUGGGGAAAUUAGUAUGUUCCAUGCUCAAGCCCUGGCAAAAAUAAGUGCUAGUUUCCUAACGGCCUCCUGAGAUGAACCGGGUCCGUGCUGCGUAAUUUACUUCACGCUCAGCACCCUGUGAGCAUUCCACAGUCCAGGGUGCUGCAGUUCAAAGGUUAUAUGACUUGCUAAAAUCUUCGGGUUAAGAAGAGGCCAAGGUGGGCUUUGGAUGAGCUGCAUCUGCCUCCUGAACACAAGGGUUCAUCUGCUGCUCUCUCGCUUCCUCCAGCAAUGGCCCUGAGCUGAGAGGGAGCAUGUGAGUUCGCGCAAGUUUCAAGAAGGGAGGAGCCUGCUCCUCCCGGAGGCCCAGCCCCAGCAACACCUGCUGAGCAACGAGAUUCCAUGAACGCUACACGCGGACCUGAGUUGGAACCUGGCCUCUCUUGACACGGUGAUCAAUUUGACGUUAAAAUUUGGCCCAAGAAACUGACAAUCAAAGGUGAUAAGCCACAGUCUAGCUUCGGUUAGAUCCGCUUUUUUUUUUUUUUUUUUUUUAAAGUCAUGACUCGGUGUUGCCUCGUUGCGCAACGAUUUUCUAAAUCGCUAAAUUGACCUUCAUUGUAUGAUCAGAUAGUGACAUGAAAAACAUUGAUCUUAGUCACAGGUUACAGCUGCAUCUUGGAACCAUCCUAACACCAGGUGCAGGAAGCAAAACUUAUUAUGUGACACGCGUGUAGGCCAAUCUUCCCCCAGAGGCACGAUGCAUCAUGGGUGGAGCCCAGACCCCUGGUGUUCUAGGCCUUCUGGAUCCCCCGUGGACCCUGAGGGCAUUCAUGCUCCCAUUUCUCCUGACUGCCUCCUGCUAUUCAGGGACCAGGCAGAGACGACAGAUGGAAAGCAGACAGGGCCUGGAGAUCAGCAGCCCUAGGCCCUGACCCAAACCCUCAGCGUUGUAAAGAGUUUUGCAAAGGGAGUGGUUCUGGAAGAAAAGCAGAGCGUGGAGUGUCAGAGGCUGGAGUGUUGUGAAAGGCAUAAGCCCUGGAGACCCUCUGUAACUGGCCUUCACACACGCCUGCCGCCAACGACAACACUGAACCGCGGAAGCGGGGUGUUUGCCAGCUCACGAGACGGGGAGACAUGAAGCUUCCACCAGCAGAGGAGCUGGAGGGGAAACAGAAAGAAAGAACUGAGUCUAGCAGCCUCCUUGGACAUUUCUUCCAACGCCUCCAGCCCAGCACAACAAACAACCUCGGGGCAUCCGGCCCGUGCCGCGCCCUGGCACACCCAACUCUGCCCUGCUCCAAGAGCCCACAGAGGGCCUCCGGGUCACACUCAAGCUGCCGUAAUGAAACAGAUGACGCACGACAGAUCACAAUAUGAAAUUCAGAAACAAAUUUAGGGGAAGAAACAGCAGAGCGACAAGGUGACCAUGAGUCGGGGUGCAGCCUGGCCUGGACCACUGUCCUCAUCAAGGUCUGGAUUCUUUCCAUCCACCCUCACAGCGGCUUGACCUCAGCCUCCAGGAGCUGUGCUCCUAUUACCAGUCCUCAGACACGGGCCCUGGGUUGCCAUAUUCACCCCCUCAUCCCAGGGGUCACACGGCUCAGGCCACCUAGACCUGCUGCUAGGACAGCUGGCCCUCAUCCCUGCCCCAGGACAGACAGGCGCUCAGCAGAAAGGCCGCCAGGCUCUUCAGAACUUCUCUCUGCACUGGGCUCAAGUGGCCGUACCAGGCAAGAGCAGGACCGUCUCUGUCUUCGUGUUCAUGCUGCAACAUUUCCUGCUUUCCAUUAAUUGCAUCUAAGUGGAGCGUUUAACGAAUUAAAAGAAUUUCCAGCACCACUCCUGGCUUAACCCUGUUUACCUCUUGUUUAACAUACUGAUUUGGAUUUAGGGUGGUUUUUUAAGAAGGCUUGUCCUCAGUGGCAGUUCCCUCUGGACCAUGUCACCCAGUUUCUUGACCAGCUCUGAAGGACUCUGGAGGCCUCUGUGUAAUGGCAAGCAACUUACACACACACAUGCACAAAUCAUGAGUGCUUCAGUAUUUUCAACCUUGGGAAGUUUUGGUGUAUGACAUUGUGACGUUUAUGUUUUGUGGCAUGAUUUUUUAAUGGAGGAGAAAACAAAUAGUUUCUGGCUCCCUGUAACAGCACACGCAUUAUAACAGCCACUUUCUGAACAUUCUGUCAUUUUUCCAUCCAUCCUUAUUGUACCCAUUUUACUCAUACGGAAAUCAAGUCAUACAGCCAAUAAACAGCAAAAACACGACUGAAGUCCAGCUCCAACUCCGGGCCUGCAUUCUUUCCUUUGUGUGGCAUUGCAGCUUCUAGGGAUGUUAGCUACGGGCC